rnacentral:rRNA from 1 species
AUUGAACGCUGGCGGCAUGCCUUACACAUGCAAGUCGAACGGUAACGCGGGGCAACCUGGCGACGAGUGGCGAACGGGUGAGUAAUGCAUCGGAACGUGCCCGGUAGUGGGGGAUAACUGCUCGAAAGAGCAGCUAGUACCGCAUACGACCUGAGGGUGAAAGGGGGGGAUCGCAAGACCUCUCGCUAUCGGAGCGGCCGAUGUCGGAUUAGCUAGUUGGUGGGGUAAAGGCCUACCAAGGCGACGAUCCGUAGCUGGUCUGACAGGACGACCAGCCACACUGGGACUGAGACACGGCCCAAACGCCUACGGGAGGAAGCAGUGGGGAAUUUUGGACAAUGGACGCAAGUCUGAUCCAGCCAUGCCGCGUGCGGGAAGAAGGCCUUCGGGUUGUAAACCGCUUUUGUCAGGGAAGAAAUCUUCUGAGUUAAUACCUCGGGAGGAUGACGGUACCUGAAGAAUAAGCACCGGCUAACUACGUGCCAGCCGCCGCCGUAAGAC